AUCGCUUCUCGGCCUUUUGGCUAAGAUCAAGUGUAGUAUAGAGAAAUGCUUUUUGUUCCCCUUUCAUCGGUCUCUAACUUCUCUACUGCCCAAUCCCCUCCAACAUUAAAACAAAAAAUAAUUUGUAAAGCAGGAAUAUUCUUCCUAGAAAUGAAAUCUGAGUAAUUAGGGAUCUAUAAACAUUUACCAAUGCCUGUUAAAACUGUCUCAUCAGU
rnacentral:snRNA from 1 species